rnacentral:lncRNA from 1 species
AAAUCUCUCUCAGCUGUCCGCUCCACUUUUUGAUUGAGGAAACAGUCCUAGAGAGCUUAGAGAAGCUGCCCCAGGCUGCCAAGUUCACUACAGAGCCAGGGUAGAUUCCCCAGCUCUACCUUCUUUCCACUUUGCUGUCUUCUUAUAAAGUAAAUUGAAUCUCAAUGGGAUUAUAAAUUUACCUGCUGAAACCAGCCACAGCUACUCAGACUGCUUCCUGCCUCAACAAUCUUCCAUUCUGGUCUUCUGCUAGAUAGAAGAGAUAAAAAAUUGUAAUACUUAAAAAAUAACACGUAUGUAGUCUAUUUACUUUAUGUUAAUAAUAAUUACUAACUUUUUUCAGUGUCUGUUAUGUACCGGACACUAUGCUAAAAUCUUUACAGAAAUUACUUAAUUUUCAUAAUCAUUUUAUAUAGCAAUGUUGGAGUUGCUGUCAUAGCUCAGCGGUUAUGAACCCAACUAGUAUCCACAAGAAUGCGGAUUUGAUCCCUGGCCUUGCUCAGUGGGUUAAGGAUCUGGCAUUGCCAUGAGCUGUGGUGUAGGUUGCUGAUGUGGCUCGGAUUUGGUGUUGCUGGGGCUGAGGGAUAGGUCGGCAGCUGCAGCUCUGAUUAGACCCAGAGCCUGGGAACUUUGAUGUGCCGCCAGUGUAGCGCUAAAAAGACCAAAAAAGAAAAUUUACCCGAUGUUAAUGCUAUGAGAUACUUUCCCCAUUUUUCAAGGUGACAAAGUGAAGCUCAAGGGAUUUAUGACUUCUCCACAAUUACUGAACUAGUCAAAGACACUACCUGAACUCAAGUUUCCUGACUCCCAGCAUAGAUUUUCUUUUCCUCUCAUCCAUUGCCUCUGGGCACCUUUGGUGCAAAACUCAUGUUCAUUUGGCAAAAAUACCCUAUUUAAGUGAUUUAGAUAAAUGAAUCAGCCCCUUUUCACCAACUAGGCAGAAAAGACAGCUUUUUCUAAUGGAAAGGGAGAUGGAAGGGCUCUGAAGGGGGAGCUGAGGGAUGACUACACUGACUGUUCCCUGAAAUAAAAAAAACUUGAAGAAUGAACAGUAAACAAAGAGUCACUUAGAACAUAUACUAUUUCAGCAAGUGGUAUGAACACUGAGUGAGCAGGAAGGGAAAGGAGAGCCUACAUGUUUGAGGAAAGUUGAGAGAUUACUGAAUUUGGCCAGGCAACAUAUAGAUAAAGUUGUUUCCUGACAGUUGCCUCUGUGAGAGCAUCUUCUUCAAGCACAGCUGGAAAAGAAAGUCAAACAAAACCAACAAUGCUAAAAACAACUGCUUUGACUUUAUAUAAGGCCAAAAACCUAGCAAAACUUUAAUGGCUAAACCUUUCAACUUAACCAACUGGUGCUCUACCCAGGAUUCAUUUCCCAAGAGUUUAAUUUUGUGUGCCUGAGAAUAACUUGCUUCACUGAAAUGUGUAACUGGGGGUAAAUGUCAGUCAUAACUGAUAUCCUCUUCAAACUUUUUAACUUCAAUUGUUUCUGAGUCUGUUAAAUGUCUGCUAGAAGACCAGACCAACCAAAACCUAGAUGUGGUGAACUUGAAACCAGUGUGUGCUUUAAAACCAAACCUAACUGAAAUCAUAUGUCUAUCUUUUAUGUAUGCACAGUAGAUUGUGUAAUUAGACCCAUUUAUGUCCAACUCAUUAUGCCCUCCUCCACCAUUAUCUAUCUCUUCUUUCUUUGUGAUAAUUUAACAUUUUGUAAUUAAAUGGCAGGAGAAUAAAAUACUAAAAAAUUAUCAUGUGGUCAGGGUAGAAUGUAUCUCUGUCAGACUUUACUAUUUCAAUUUGCAUAAUAGUAACUGCUUCAAUUCUGCCUAAUUAAAAAGAAAAUCCAUUUUUGAGAAAAGCUUUUAUAUGCAAACAAAGCUGGAACUUCCAUUUGGACUCAGCAAUUGAACUCCUCUCACCUCAGGAAUGAGCUUCAGACUGUAAACUUAAGAUGUUUGGUUGAGUCUAUGAGUCACUACUGUCCAUGAGUCCUCCUAUUCUAGCAGAUUUUGUGAGGUUAUCACAUGUACAUGACAUGUAUGUGUGUACAAAUGUCCAUAUCAGAACAUUCUCACAUGAGCAGAUGCACACCCCCAUAUAUAUAUGCAAUUAUACACGUUCUUUCAAUCAUUUUGUAAAUAUUUAUUAUCUACUAUGUGCUAGGUUGUGGUCUAGGCAUUGAGGAUACAAUAGCAAGACUGGCAAAAUUCCUGCUUCUGUGAUGCUUAUAGUCCAGUGAGAAAGACAGGAAAUAAAUAAAAUGUUUAUGAUGUCAUACAUGUUUAUAUCAUAGAACAUGUAUAUAUAUAGUGUGUGUAUAUGUGUGCAUGCAUGUAUGUGUAGGCGUGUGCACAUAUAUGUUCCUGUGUGUAUAAACAUGCUUGUAUUUAUAUGUCUAUGUGCAUGCGUGUUUAUACACACAUGAACAUACAAUGGUUCAGCUUAAUAAUUUUGUGAGUUUAUCAUAGUGCAAAAGUGAUACAUAUUUAGUAGAAACUGUACUUUGCAUUUUAAAUUUUGAUCUUUUCCUGGGCUAGCCAUCGGUAUUAUGUGCUAUCUUAUGAUGUUGAACAGAAGCAAGCUGAAGCUCCCUGUCAGUCAUGUGAUCGCGUAGGUAAACAACUGAUGCACUUAUAUACCAAUUCCACACCCAUGUGACCAUUCUGUUUUUCACUUUCAGUACAGUAUUUGAUAAAUUACGUAAGAUAUUCAACACUUGAUUAUAAAAUAGGCUUUGUGUUAGAUGAGUUGCCCAACUUCAGGCUAAAGCAAAUGUUCUGAGCACAUUCAAGGUAGGCAAGACUAAGCUUUGAUGUUUUUAGUAGGUUAAAUGUACUUGAUGCAUUUUUUAUUCAUGAUAUUUUUUACUGGAUGAAUUUAUUGGGACAAAAUCCCAUUGUAAGUUGGAGAUGAUCUAUACACAUUUGCACUUUUCCAAGUCAAUUUAAGACAAAAUGGAAAAUUUGCUGAAGUUACAUGUGCUCCAGAAUUGGUAGGGUCAGAUUUUGACACCAAGUAGUAUUGUUAUAGGGUCCUUAUGUUCAUUUGCUUGCUCUCCUUGCCUCGUGGAGUUAUCAGGACCAAAUUUUAUGACAGCUGUGAAAUUAUGAUUCCACCUGCCCUGCUACAUUACUAAAGAGCCUUGGCUUCCCCCCUUGAUUUUUAAUUUUUAGGCUAAUGUUGCUAAAUAGAGCCCUAUGGAUGUUUCUCUCUUCUUAUCACCAGAUUGGGAGUAAAAGGACUGGGCCUCUAAUUCCAUCUCCGUGAUAUACUUGCUCUGUGACUUGGGUGCAUCACCGUAUCUGUCUGGGUCUCAUUUUCCUCAUCUGUUAGAUGAACAGAUGGGAUCACAAUAGCCUCUAAGAUUUCUUCAGGCUGUAACAUCCUUUGCUUCUAACUGGUAUCAUUUACUUGGUACCGUGCUACUCAGGGAGCACAGCAUGUCAUGCCCUCUCAACAUCUCGUAUUCUCUAGAGCAUUGCCCAGUGCAGACGGUACUAUAGCUGAAAUUGUUAUUAGCAGGCUUGCACCAGAAAUGUGACAUCCCCUUCUGUUGUCUGUCACCAGCCUGGACAAAGCACAUAAUUGAAAUAUGAAACUAAAGCUUAGUGUAUCAGAUCUCAGAGAUCUUUUUCCUAACGAGGUAGCAUAGUUGCAUGAUAGAUUCCUCUGUUACAUGCUCCUAAAGUACCCUGUAUUUAUUUUUCAUCAUUUUUGCCACAGUGUAAAUUAUGUAAUUAUUUUGUUGUUUUAUUUAUUGCCAGUCUUGCUUACACUAUAUUUUCCAGAGAAGGGAAUUUGUCUUUUUCACCACCAUAUCAACACAUCUAGCAUAAUGUCUCAGCAAAAUAGAACAUACUCCUAAGCUGUGUUGAAAAAGGAAAUAAAACUUAAUAAUAACCUGAUUUGUCAGUGUGGCAAUAGCAGGCAUAGCUUCUCUCAAAAAGCUUCUGUGGUUACCUCUCAAAGCUUUGCCCUUGGCCUUUGGUAUUUUUCCUGAGCUGAGCCAAUAGCGUAGCUGCUCCUCGGCAGGCCUGGUUUUCUGCAAGCAUUGGUAUCCCAGGAAACUGUGUCAUUGCCACAUGGCUUCAAACAGAGCAUUGAGAUGAUUCGGUGACUUGUAUUCUCCCAGCCUAUUCUGUUUCUGCUGUUCCAUAUUGAACCUGUCCUCACUCACCUGGCUCACAAGAGCUGGAUGCAAGUGCAACUCACUUUACUGACUCUGACACAUAGCCCAGAGCAUCCUUCUUGGUCAAAGAACUUGCCAUUGUAGGUUAUUUCACACACAGGUGACCUCAUUUAAUAUAUCAUCAAUGGAGCCGUACUUGGAGGACAUUUGUCACCAUCCUCAAACUAUCUUUUUAUUACUAGUUUUCAGGCUUUUUCUUCAUCACUCAGUCUUCACAAAUAUAUUGCCCAAAUAGGGCUUAAGGGUAGCUAGAGAUUAAUAUCUUUCUUCCAUGAUGUCAGAAGUGUUCAAUCCUAACCAGACAGGAAGGGAGCAAAAAUUGUGAUUUUCCUACUAUAUGUCAGUCAGUAUGUUAGGUGACUUGGUUAUUCAUCUUGAAAAAAACCAUCUUACCUAUGAUGGUAUCAAACCUGAGUGUCUCCACAGGGACCCAGGCUCCUGCAAUUGGGCCCGUUAACUCACUGCAGGAACUCCCAAACCACCUUUUAGAUUUGACAUGUCAAAUUGAUGAAUAAUGUGCUGAUACAGUGAAAUGGGUAUCACAAAGCACUGAAUCAUUGGCCAACUCCUGGGGGAUCUCUGCACCAACACAAAUCCAAAGGCUAUCAGUAAAAGCCAUUCCUCUGUCCAGUAGGUAUGGGGAAGAAUUGGAAAGAAAACACAGGUUGCAAUUUAAUCCCUGGGAGUAAUUAGAAUUUCAUAGGUUUAAGACAAUAAAUAGUCCAAGUAUUAAUUACCAGGUGUCUAGGCCCUGCAUUUCCUUGCACAACAUCAAUACGAUGGACUUUUUCUAAAUACAUCAGUGGUAAAUAUUCUUCUUGUGGAUCCUUGUUGUAUCUUUAACUACAUCCCUUUUACUUUGAUUUUUAUUCUAAUUUGUAUUAGAGAGGAAACCAAGUGUGUUUGCUGAAAGCCGGGACAUUUAUUCUUCUCUAAUAUUGGGAGGCAUGUUUCAGAAAUAACAUCACGCUCUCAUCAGAUUCCUUCCAAAGAUUAUCAAUAUCAUGAUGAAAGUUACAUUGUCUUCAGCAUCAGAGUGCCAUAUGAAUUACUCAAUAAAACCCAAAGUUCUUCAAUGGCCUUUUGAGUAAUGUUACAAUUACCAAAAGUUAGUAGUUUAUUAGAAAAAAAUAUGGAGUAAACACGUCAAUCAUAGUACUUCAAAGCAUCCAAACAGCAACACAAGUGGCUCAGCACAUUAAGGAUCCAGCAUUGUCACUGCUGUGGCUGGGUUGCUGCUGUGGCAUGAGUUUGAUCCGUGGCUCUGGAACCAUGUAUGAAAUGGGUAUGGGAAAAAAAAUAGUAAUCCAAACAUGGACCAAAAUUUUUCCAAAAUUGUCCUCUCAAAAAUCUCAUCCAGUGGAGAAAUAUAUUGGAAAGUGUGAAUGUCUAGAAAGUUACGUAUUAAUAGUUUUAAGAAUAUGAAUGUACCUUUUGCCAUUAAUGCGCUUUUGUUAACUAUAGAAGAUGUUUUCCUCACUCAGAACAGGUUUUAGGUUGAUGGAGAGGAUAUUUUUAUAUUCAAAGAAGUAGUUUUGACCAAGAUUAAAUAUAACAGUUAUAUUGCCUCAGGAUACUUACCAGGAUGAUUAACAGGAAUUUUUUUGGAGUUCCCGUCGUGGCGCAGUGGUUAACGAAUCCGACUAGGAACCAUGAGGUUGCGGGUUCGGUCCCUUCCCUUGCUCAGUGGGUUAAUGAUCCGGCGUUGCCAUGAGCUGUGGUUAGGUUGCAGACGCGGCUCGGAUCCUGCGUUGCUGUGGCUCUGGUGUAGGCUAGUGGCUAUAGUUCUGAUUGGACCCCUAGCCUGGGAACUCCAUAUGCCGCAAGAGCAGCCCAAGAAAAUGGCAAAAAGACAAAAACAAAAAACAAAAAAACAGGCAUUUUUUUGUUUUUAGUUUUGACAUAGGGCUUUGUUUUCACAUGGACUCUGGAGGUAUACACACAUACAGAGAUACUUAAUGCAACCCUCUAAUUCUCACACCUCUGAAUCCUCUGCAUGGAGCAUAUUCCUUACACUGGGCACAAAGUCUUCUGCAAAAAAAAAAAAAAAAAA